AUUGAACGCUGGCGGCAGGCCUAACACAUGCAAGUCGAGCGCGCGGCGGACGGGUGAGUAAAGUAUGUGGAAUUCCCCCCAGAAGGGGGUAACUACUGGAGACAGUAGCUAAUACCGCAUACUUUCGGUUAACCGAUAUGGCAUUAGCUAGUAGGUGGGGUAAUGGCUCACCUAGGCGACGAUCCAUAGCUGGUCUGAGAGGAUGAUCAGCCACACUGGGACUGAGACACGGCCCAGACUCCUACGGAGGCAGCAGUGGGGAAUAUUGCACAAUGGGCGCAAGCCUGAUGCAGCAAUGCCGCGUGUAUGAAGAAGGCCCUAGGGUUGUAAAGUACUUUCAGUCGGGAGGCGUUACCUACUGAAGAAGCACCGGCUAACUCCGUGCCAGCAGCCGCGGUAAUUC
rnacentral:rRNA from 1 species